rnacentral:lncRNA from 1 species
UGGGUGUGGUUGAGCAUGUUAAACAGGAGUUACUACCUCCUUGGAUGGCUUCAACUUAGCAUGAAGAAGUGUCACUCUUAUGGAGGCAUUGUGGCAUGAAUCCCACAAGACUGCACAAGAGUCCUCCAUAUGUACUGUUCUGGCUGCUGGUUUCCUUGCCUGUCUGUGGAAUGAAGGGGUUGACCCAGGGCAUUUGAGGAAAUUGAAACAGAAGUCAAUCCCUGAACUCUGUGUCCCAGAGUUGAGCACCACACUGGAAAUUACCUAUCAACACCCAAGUGAUUCUAUAGCCUGAGGUGGAUCACACUGUCUGGUCUGGGAGGUUCCCGUCAGCUCCAACUUGCUAGUAAGUGAGCGUGAGUCUGGGGGCUGCCAACACAUGUUUUCUUGAUUGUGGCUAGUAGUCAACCCUUUGCAGUUUCACUGCAGGAGACAUGUUGAAAUGCAAGCAUUGUGGGCUUGUGCGGGGUUAGAGUCCCCCACCUGGCUUUUCUGACAAUAGUCACAUCAAAUGGGGCCUGAAGCAGGUCAAGGUCCCAACAUGGAACACACCAUCCUAGGUAAUCAAAAGAAAUGUUUAAAAAGAAAAACUGGUGUUGAAUGUGUUGGGAGCAAAGUGGGAGAAGGCAGUUACUAAAAGAUGAAUUACUGGGGAACUAAAGCUGUGCCUGCUGGUCACGCACACCAAUCACUACACCCCUGUCUAGGCGAUGCCCACUUCUAGUUCACUUUCAGCCCCGCUUGGGCAUUUGGUAUCCCAGAGACUGGAUUGUGUAAUAUAUAAAACAAAGAGGAAAGGAGAAAAUUGGUUGGUUCAUAUAUAUAGCUGGACAUGUGUACAUGUAAGAAGGAAUAAAACUCAAGAUGACUGCUGAAGUUCCAUUUCUAGCUGGUCCUGAGGCUGGGGGAGGGGACUUGAGCACUCACUGCUCAUCCCAGGCACCAUGAGCGCUCGACUGCUGGGUUUACAGGUGUGCAGCACCAUAGCAACCUCCGAUGUUUUAAAUGAACUAGUUCUAAAGUAAGUUUUAUACCUUCUGUUUCUUAUCCCUACACUCGGGGGUAUAUUUCCUCAAAACAAGGCCAUUCUGUUACAUAACCACAAUACAGUUAUCAAAACGAGGAAAUUAGUGAUGCAAUGCUGUUAAUGCCAGGCUGCAUUCAGAUUUCACCAGUUGUUCCACUAGUGUCAGAUAAGGAAAAGCUUACAAUCAGUUUUCAUACUGAACUGUCAUUUUUCUUGAGAGUCUUUACUUUUAAUCUGGAGCAGUAUCUCAGUCUCUUUAUCUUUCAUACCUUGACGUUUGUGAAGAGUACAGGACAAUUAUUUGUUAGAACACCCUCAAAUCGGAUUUGUUUGGUACUUCCUCUCAAGAUGAUUCUGGAGGAAUACCACAAGUGAAUGCAUCAUAGGAGGUACGUGAGGUUGGUGAUAGUACUUUUGUAAAGUAACACUCUUUCUCUUUGUGGUAAACACUGAGACUAUGUGAAUGUCCUUCUCUUCAUCAAAAUGUGUCUACUAGGGCUGGGGUUAUGACUGAGUGGUAGAUCACUUCCCUACCCUGUGUGAGGGGCUGGGUUUGAUCCUCAGCACCACAUUAAAAAUAAAAGGUAUGGUGUCCAUCUACAACUAAAAAUACACAUAUAUAUAUAAUGUAUCCACUAGUUUCCCAUCAUCUAUUGAUACUUUUUGCUUGACCAGUUAUUACUCAGAUGCUGCCAACACUUUUUUUUUCUUUUUGGUACCAAGGAUUGAACCCAGUGGAGUUCAACCACUGAGCCACAUCCCCAGGCUUUUGUUGUUGUUGUUGUUGUUGUUAUUGUUUUUAAGAGAGUCUCGCCAAAUUGCUGAGGCUAGUGUUGAACUUAAAUUCUCUUGCCUCAGCCUCCUGAUGCACUGGAAUUAUAGGCAUGUGCCCCUUUACCCAGCUUGCCAACAUUUCUUUUGCACUUAUUAACAUUGUGCUAUAAGGAAGAGUUUUUCAUACAAACAUGUAUAUACUCUUAUAAUCUGAUACCGUUUUUCAUGCACAAAUGGAACUGCUUCUGUGUCUUCUUACCACAUCUCCAUCAUUCUGUUUUGUUUUGUUUUGUAUUUUGACAUAAGAUAUUUAGGCUCAUCAUCUACUUUUCCCAGAUAUGGACUUAGCUAUUUCUCCAGGGAGCUCUGGUUCUUUUCAGUAAGGAGAGUAUCCAAAAACUAAAAUCUGGGCACUGGGCAUGCUCACGGCUACUGGGGUGUCACUGAUUCAGGAAUAUCCCUGCAAACAGGGAGUUUUUUAUGUGUAAGUUCAGAUUUGUCCAUAUAUGUGCAUAUAUCUCUAUAACAUCUAUACCUACCAUGAGUUGUUGAUACCUCCAAUUUCAAUUUCAGUGCAAUACCACAGGAUACGUUCUGACCUUCUCUCAUUUAUAUUUUCUUUCCCAACAGUGAGAGACCUGGCUCUUAUUAUCUUCAGGGUACAGUUGACUCUGGGAUGACAUAGUUUUGAACUGUGUGGGCCAUCUUAUACAUGGAUUCAUCUUUGGGAGAUUUGUGACAAUUUGAAAAAAUAUGCAAGCUGUAGCAUAGAAAAAUUAAAAGGCAUAUCACGAAUGCAUAAAAUAUAUGUAGAUAAUACUUUAUUUUAAAAUUAUUUACUACCAUAAACAUAUACAUCUAUUGUAAAAAGUUGAAAAUUUAUCAAAACUUGAGCACUUACAUUCAGGGUGUCAAGGAAAAUGUAAACAAAUUGAAUACACUGUUAAACCAUUACAGUAUAAAAUUAACUAGUACGUAUUAUACUACAGUAAUACUUCCGUAGCCACUGUGUAUAGCUAUGGGGGUGAAUUUUGUUGCAAGUAUCUGCUUAAAAUGCUGUGCAGCAAGCAAGUUCAAAGCCAUCCUUAGCAAGUUAGUGAGGCCCUAAGCAACUCAGUGGGACCCUGUCUCAAAAAAUAAAAAGGGCUGGGGAUGUGAUUCAGUGGUUAAGCAAUUCUUGGUACCAAAAUAAAAACAACUGUGCAGCUCUGGUCACCUCCAUGUGAGAAAUUGGUCUCUCCAGUAAAGUCCAUAUCCAGUAAAAACACCUCACAGUUCUUGCAUAUUUUUUUACUGUGUGUAAUACAUGUAACGUAAAAUGUGUUAACCCUCAGUGAGACCCUGUCUCUAAAUAAAAUGUAAAAAAGGGCUGGGGCUGGGAUUCAGUGGGUUAAGCACCCCUGGAUUCAAUCCCUUGUACCAAAAAACAAAAAAGUAAAAUAUGUUAACCAACUUUAUAUUAUCAGUUAGGCUCCCAGUCAACUCUAGUGUUAAGUUUUAGGAAUGUCAAAAGGGUUGGUGCCCCUGAUCUCCCGUGUUGUGCAGGAGUCAGCUCUGUUUCCACAUUUACUCAGUCCUAGAAUACCCCCCAAGUAGUUUUAUGGUUGCUAACCCACUGUGAGAGACAAGCUUUCUAGUGUGAUACAGUCACAAGAUGCUCUGUCAAAGCCAGACCUCAUACUUAAGUGGUCCCAUAGGUUAUUACUGCCUAGGGAUGUCACUGCUGUCCUAGUUUGUGUAAGGAUGCUCUAUGAUGUCUUCACAAUGACAACAUUGCCUAACAAUGUGUUUCUCAGAGGGUGUCCCUGUUGUGCCUCAUGACUGUAUUUGUUUAAAGAAAAACAUUACAAAAAUACAUAUGUACAAGGUUAUUUGUUGUAACAAUCUGUAAUUUAGAUUUUUGUCUUAGGCUGAGAGUUACUUCCAUUUAGUAUGGCUAUGAUAAUCAUUUGAGAUACUGAAUACUGAACUCACUGUCUGGAAUUUUUUUUAAUAUUGAGGGUUGAACCCAGGUCCUUGGCACAUG